rnacentral:rRNA from 1 species
GAUGAACGCUAGCGGCAGGCCUAAUACAUGCAAGUCGAACGGUGUCUUCGGACAUAGUGGCGCACGGGUGCGUAACACGUAUGCAACCUACCUUACAUUGGGGGAUAGCCUUUCGAAAGGGAGAUUAAUACCGCAUAAGACAGUAGCUGGGCAUCCAGCAGCUGUUAAAGAUUUAUCGAUGUAAGCUGGGCAUGCGUCCAAUUAGCUAGUUGGUGAGGUAACGGCUCACCAAGGCAAUGAUUGGUAGGGGAACUGAGAGGUCAAUCCCCCACACUGGCACUGAGAUACGGGCCAGACUCCUACGGGAGGCAGCAGUAGGGAAUAUUGGGCAAUGGACGCAAGUCUGACCCAGCCAUGCCGCGUGCAGGAUGAAGGCGUUAUGCGUUGUAAACUGCUUUUAUACAGGAAGAAACGACUCUUGCGAGAGGCAUUGACGGUACUGUAUGAAUAAGCACCGGCUAACUCCGUGCCAGCAGCCGCCGCCGUAA